rnacentral:rRNA from 1 species
AUGAACGCUGGCGGCGUGCCUAAUACAUGCAAGUCGCGCGAACGGACGAGAAGCUUGCUUCUCUGAUGUUAGCGGCGGACGGGUGAGUAACACGUGGAUAACCUACCUAUAAGACUGGGAUAACUUCGGGAAACCGGAGCUAAUACCGGAUGAUAUUUUGAACCGCAUGGUUCAAAAGUGAAAGACGGUCUUGCUGUCACUUAUAGAUGGAUCCGCGCUGCAUUAGCUAGUUGGUAAGGUAACGGCUUACCAAGGCAACGAUGCAUAGCCGACCUGAGAGGGUGAUCGGCCACACUGGAACUGAGACACGGUCCAGACUCCUACGGGAGGCAGCAGUAGGGAAUCUUCCACAAUGGGCGAAAGCCUGACGGAGCAACGCCGCGUGAGUGAUGAAGGUCUUCGGAUCGUAAAACUCUGUUAUUAGGGAAGAACAUAUGUGUAAGUAACUGUGCACAUCUUGACGGUACCUAAUCAGAAAGCCACGGCUAACUACGUG